GUCUUUUUGAUUUUAAUUUAAAGUCUAAUCUGCUCUAUGAAUAAUUAAAUGGCCGCAGUAUAUUGACUGUGCGAAGGUAGCAUAAUAAUUAGUUUUUUUAUUGAAAGCUGGAAUGAAUGAUUUGAUAAAAAAAAUACUGUCUCUAAUUUAUUUAAAUAGAAUUUUAUUUUUUAGUAAAAAAGCUGAAAUUAUAUUUAAAGACGAGAAGACCCUAUAGAGUUUUAUAUUUAUUUUAUAAUUAAUUUAAAUUGUAUUUUUUAUUUUUUUUAUUUAAAAAUAUUUUAUUGGGGUGAUAGAAAAAUUUAAUAAACUUUUUUAUAAAUAUUACAUUUAUAUAUGAAUAUAUGAUCCUAAAAUUUGGAUAAUAGAUUAAAUUACCUUAGGGAUAACAGCGUAAUUUUUCUGUAGAGUUCUAAUCGAUAGAAAAGAUUGCGACCUCGAUGUUGGAUUAAGAUUAAUUUUUAAUGAAGAAGUUAAAAGUAUUUAGUCUGUUCGACUAUUAAAAUCUUACAUGAUC
rnacentral:rRNA from 1 species